UACGAAGGGGGCUAGCGUUGCUCGGAAUUACUGGGCGUAAAGCGCACGUAGGCGGAUUGUUAAGUCGGGGGUGAAAUCCUGGAGCUCAACUCCAGAACUGCCUUCGAUACUGGCGAUCUCGAGUUCGGGAGAGGUGAGUGGAACUGCGAGUGUAGAGGUGAAAUUCGUAGAUAUUCGCAAGAACACCAGUGGCGAAGGCGGCUCACUGGCCCGAUACUGACGCUGAGGUGCGAAAGUGUGGGGAGCGAACAGG
rnacentral:rRNA from 1 species